AGUGAACGCUGGCGGCGUGCUUAACACAUGCAAGUCGAACGAGAACGGAUUAUAGCUUGCUAUAAUUGUCAGCUAAGUGGCGCACGGGUGAGUAAUGUAUAGAUAACCUGCCCUCUAGAAAGGAAUAACAGUUGGAAACGACUGCUAAUGCCCUAUAUGCCUUUAAUACAUAAGUAUGCAAGGGAAACGCUUUAGUGCUAGAGGAUGGGUCUGUAUGGUAACAGUUAGUUGGUGAGGUAAUGGCUCACCAAGACUAUGACGCCUAACUGGUUUGAGAGGAUGAUCAGUCACACUGGAACUGAGACACGGUCCAGACUCCUACGGGAGGCAGCAGUGGGGAAUAUUGCACAAUGGACGAAAGUCUGAUGCAGCAACGCCGCGUGGAGGAUGACACAUUUCGGUGCGUAAACUCCUUUUAUAUAGGAAGAUAAUGACGGUACUAUAUGAAUAAGCACCGGCUAACUCCGUGCCAGCCGCCGCCGCUG
rnacentral:rRNA from 1 species